rnacentral:rRNA from 1 species
GACGUAGGGCGCGAGCGUUGUCCGGAUUUAUUGGGCGUAAAGGAGCUCUAGAGCGGCUUUGUCACGUCGGGGAGUGAAAACUCAGGGCUCAACCCUGAGCGUGCUUCCGAUACGGGCAGACUAGAGGUAUGCAGGGGAGAACGGAAUUCCAGGUGUAGCGGUGAAAUGCGUAGAUAUCUGGAGGAACACCGGUGGCGAAGGCGGCAUCCUGGACCGGUAUUGACGCUGAGGCGCGAAAGCCAGGGGAGCAAACGGG